UUUAAUUUGAGGGUUUGAUCCUGGCUCAGGACGAACGCUGGCGGCGUGCUUAACACAUGCAAGUUGAACGGGAUUCACCAGUGUAACAGCGAAUUAGAGUGAUGAGAGUAGCGGACGGGCGAGUAACGCGUGAGUAACCUGCCCUUUGCAGGGGGAUAACAUCGGGAAACCGGUGCUAAUACCGCAUAAGACCACAGUGUCGCAUGGCACGGCGGUCAAAGCUGAGGCGGCAAAGGAUGGACUCGCGUCCAAUUAGCUGGUUGGUAGGGUAACGGCCUACCAAGGCGACGAUUGGUAUCCGAACUGAGAGGUUGAUCGGACGCAUUGGGACUGAGACACGGCCCAGACUCCUACGGGAGGCAGCAGUGGGGAAUAUUGCGCAAUGGGGGCAACCCUGACG
rnacentral:rRNA from 1 species